UCCACUCCCACAUCUCUAAUAAAAAUGUUAUAUGAGUCUAUAUCCAGCAAAGAUCCUUGUAUCAUGCUUUUUGAAACCUCCUACACUGUAAUCUUUCAUGACAUUUCAGAAAAAGGCUGCAUGCUUCUCUUUACUGCAGAUGGAAAACCAGUCUGGAGAUACAUCAGUUGCAACAUUGGCAUGGUGCCCCAGCACAUGAAAGCUAUAGUAUUGUGGAUUAUCGGAGUUUUGCCUGGAAUAAGAUGGAUGCAGAAAUACUCUGUUUAACAAAGGCCCUGCUUUGUCUUUGCCCAGACUUCUCUCUCUUGCUCUUUGAAGCCUUGGUUGGGUAUAUUGUGUCACAGGGCAGCAUAAAGAGCAGCUAAUUUCUAAGAGGGCUCACAGGCUGCAAAACAGUUUGUUCUUCAGAAACAAUAUGCAUCAAACAGAAAAUACAUCUGAUGUCAUUGUGAAAAGGUUAGCAAUUAGGUGCCGAGGUGUUGGUUGGCAGUAAGAAACAGUGGAUAAAAUGGAUUCUAGCAGGAAUGGGAAUGAAAAAGAAGCCGUGAUUGAAGAAGGCCCCCAAAUAGGUAAGAUAUUAAAGAAUAUUAAAGCUAAUACGGUACAUUAUAGAGCAACUGAAGAAAAAGGAGAUGGAUUGUGAAAAUUAGACCUAGAUGAGAAGAAAAGUAAUGAAAAAACUGCUAAAUUAGAAUUGAUUGACAACAGCCUGUUAAGUAAUAUCGAAAAAAGUUAACUGAAAUGGGGAAAUAGUCCAGCAGCUGGAUUCUAGUUUAGCAUGAAUUACCCAUGGGAAACCAUUUGGAUGAGAAGAAGGCAUCACCUGAGGCUACUCUGGCUCUGUCCAUGGGGAGAAGGUGGCAGCUUCAGCUGCUAAAGCUCAGAAUGGAAAAAGUCCCCAGCCUGCUGCUCUCUUAUUAUAUUUCAGGAGCACCUGGACUUGCUAGAAGACCCUGCAACACAUCAAAAGAUGAAAAGGAGACUCAUCACAGCUACCUGCCUCUGAGAGACCAGAUUUACGCCUUGCAUCUUUAUGCUUUAUACUGAUGUCACAAGCAAUUCAAAGGGGCUAAAGUGGCCAUCUGCCUGUAAGCACCUGACAAUAUGCUGUUGUAAAGAGCAGAGAACAAAAAGAAACAUUCUAGACUCCAUCAAAGCAGUAGAGUAGGGUAGUGCAGAGCCUUCUCCAGGCUGGGACUGCAUUGCUGGCUUCUAGCAAAAGCUCCGACCUACAAGAGCAGCACAAGCAUAAGAACAUAAGCAGUUAAACUUGGGUUUUGAUUUACUUUGAUUGCUUGGGUUUCUUACAGGUGAGUUUUAACCUUAAUUGACUCUUCGAUCUGGUUCAAGACCUAACAUAGGCAUACGUGCUGACAGUGGAACAGGGAGAGGGCAUGGAGUGGGAAUGAGCAGCCCAGAGAGGCACGACUUUCACUGACUUUCCUCGUUCCAACUACAUGGGAAAUCUUGGCCUCAGAAGCAGCUGGCAUCUGGGAGCACUGUGCAGAGAGGCUGCAAGAAAUCAUUCCUGUUCUUAUAUUGCUGCAUAGAGCCAGAGCACAUUCUGCCACAUGCACGUAUCAGAGCAUUAUAAAUAAUGCAUUCUUUGAAUCUUGUUACCAAAACAAACAUGCCAUUGUUAAGACACCCUGCCAGCAUCUGUGUGUUGUUACUACUAAAAAUAUUCCUUGGACCUUAAAGUUUCAUCUGUCAGCCUUACAAAGCAAAAGGUAAAGAUAUCAGACAACUAGUUAGGAACAAACUUCAGUGGAAACUUCAGGACAAAACACACUUAAGCAAUUUAUUUGUUCAAAUUUUCCUUUUCUUGUAUUUCAGUUUGUUUCGCUAUUAGCCCACUGGCUGGUAAUAACUUCCCAUGUGCUCAUUGGAAGAUGGAUGUGUUUUAUUUCACUGUUUAAGUCCCAGAAAUCUUCCCUAUUUCAACCACAUAUGAAGAUAAAAUAUAUUGGUUGGUGAAGUAUGAAUAGGUUGUAGGGAAGGCACAAUCUGCCUGGAUGAGACAUUUACUCUUUUCAUAACGGGAUAGAUCCAGAACCUUCCAAGUUUCCACAGGUGCUUAGCUUGUAAUGAAGACAGAUAUUUCAAUUUCUCCAAGUUUUAAGGAAGGAAAAAUAGAAGUAUUAUAGUUAAAGGUCCUUUCUGGCAUUUGUGUAUUAGUUUUAGACAAAAUCCUUAAGUCUUUUCUUAGAGCUAAAUCAUCAUAAAUGGAUAUGCUCUCUGAGGAAAAAAACUAAAAAGCCUAUUUAAAUAGAACAGAGGCCACAGAGGACACAGGGAGGAAAGACAAGGAGUAAAGGAAGGAGACUUGUCAUUCUUAUCCCCUUGAAGGCACUACAUGGAGUGAUGCCUUGGGGCAGCCCCCCACAAAAACUCUGCAUGUUGGCAUCUAUUUCCAUGCGAGGAACUAGGGGAGCCACAGAGGAGUCCCCCCUUUCUCACUGCCAUAUCUACACCUGUACAAAAUCUCAUUCUUUGGUGUGCAUAAGUAACAGCAAUUUAAACAUGGCCUUAUGCUACUUUCUGGGUUUAUUUUCCCAGAGCACUCAUAGCUGCUUUGCUGCUGCUUAUUUGUACUGUGGCAGUGCCUCUUUUCCUAAGGUAUUCAUAUGGUCUUUGUCAUUGCUCUGCUCAAGUUUCUCCCAGUCUCAGAUGUGUUUAUUCACACAACAGUGCUACGAGAGCACUGCUAUUACCCCCAUCUUGGAGCAAAGAACCCAGGACAUGGGGCUAUCAGGGUUUAGACAAAGGCAAGCAAACAUCUGACUUUCACUGAUAGCAGUGACUUAGAUAUCUAAAUGGAACUAAAAUGUCCAUACCUAAAGAGCCAUUUCUGCUUCAUGGGAGACAGUGGGGCAAGAAUUCAACCCAGCUCUCACUGCCUUAUGCUACUCUACCAUCUCAGGGACACUUUAUGUGGUGAAACUGCAUACUAACAAAGAUGCUACUCAUCCUGAAGUAUAAAUAUUGUGGUCCAUUAUUGCUAUGUAAGUGAUUUUUCAGAGAUGAAAGUGGAUUAACUCUAAGGUAAUGUGGAAGAAAAGUAAUCGUGGAGUUAAAAGUUAAUAUCUCUUCUCACUGCCUCAGAAAUAUGUUUCUAAGGUUCCGCCUCCUAGAGGCACACUCUUCCCCAGGUGUGUUCCCAGUUGGAAAGUCACACCUGAGUAGAGGAGUUCUCCUGCUGUGAUGGGGGUUUUCCAGCUCAGGAUGGUCUGUGGUACUGAAUUUUUCCUGCCUAAUGAUUGCAGCAUUUGGUCUUUUAAUUGGUUGCUGUAUAUUAAUUGGAUCUGAACAGCUAAGGUAUUUAUUUUGUAAAGCAGUUCUGAAUGAUGAAUCACCUACAAUUUUUCAUAAGGAGCUUCACUAUACAGUCUGAAAGGGAAUGCAGAUUUAUACAAUAAAUACAACUGCUCCAAAAGGGAUCAGAUUUAUCUUAGCAACUGGCAGUCUCUCUAGGAUUCAUCCCCAGCCCCAGUCUAUCUGUCAGCAUAUCUUUCUUCAAAGUCCAAAAUGCAACAAAGCUUACUCUUUUGUAAAUUAUAAAAGUUUUUUUCUGAGACAUGAGGAAUUCCUUCAAGUGAGAGGUUUUAUCUCUUAAUGGAUCACAUUAACAACGCUAGUAUUAAUAAUAUAACUUUUCUCUCAAUCAGGAUUGUAUCCAAAUUAUUAGACGUGUCCUUGAGCAUAAAUGAGCAAGGGCAAUUCAGAGUGGUAAGUUUAGCACUAGAACCGAAUAAAUAAAUAAAGAAAAAUCUUACCAAAAACCGGCUGAAUCUCAACAAUUGCCGAGCCAGCAGGAUGACUGAAAUCGUCGCGAGUUCACCCUUUAUGGCCCAGGAAAAAUACAUUGUUAAGCAAUUUUGUUGUUUCUACCAGCAGACCUUGAAGUGGAAAUUAACGAGUGGUGGUAUUCUCUCACACCCAAUCCCCUGUACAUUUGCAUUCAUUUGCAUUUGAAUGCCCAGCUAAUUGUUUUGAAGUAACAAUUAAGAGAACAAUAGAGGAAAGAAAAGGGACUCCAGGCAGCAACUGACACCUGGGAGUCUGUAUUAAGAAAAGCUUUUACAUAUUUGAAUUAAAAAUAGACAAUGGAACAGAAACAGGCAGGCAUAAAAUUCAUUACAGAGAGAAAGUAGCACACCACAUCCGUGCGCGCUAUCACGCUACGGAAUAUGCUUCCCAUUCGUGCAGUCAAGAGACUUACAAUGUACUGGAUGGUAAAGGAGGUUUCUCCUUUCUGUGUGUGUUUUAGAAAAAGGUUGCUUUCUCACAUUCCCUGAGUGCCUAAACUAAAGAGUUGGAGUUCAGAAGGAACGGAGGAUUUUGCCAAUUUGGCCUAAGUUUCAAAGUGGAUUAGCUUUCCCAGAAAAGUUCUGGUAUGCACGGAUGCAGCAGUGCCUCGCAACAUUUUGGUUCUGGUUAGAAUUGCAUCUAUCAGAAUAUGGUAAUAGAGGUACUGAUUUCUGUUAUAAAAAAACAUAGGUGCCAUCUGUAAUAUCUAUUCUGGCUGCGUAUGCAGUAGGAAUCCAGUUAUCAGACUGCUCAUGCAAUGUAUUUUGUUAGACUUUCUCCUCCCUUUCGCUAAUGAUGAUGUAAUUCUUUUUAUCAGGAGCAAUUGCUGUUAACUACAUGACUGGCAAAAGCUCCAGCUCUGCUGUCCCCUCCCGCGAGAAGAAGCCUGGAGUUGGAAAGUAGGCUGAAAAAAAGAGCAGGGAGCAGUUUCACUUCUGAAUAGUAACCUCUACUACUAAAGCAAUUCAUUGACUCAAAAUUAGUCAGCGCUGUGGGUUUGGUGGAGAAAAAGAAAUCUAGGUGAUCAGUAUAGGGGCAGCUUCCACAAAGCAGUGCAGUGUCACCUCAACCUCCUUCAAAAGCAUUUGCUUUCAUGGAGUUCAGAGAAGGCAAAUUGUAUACUGUGUGCAAUAUGGGAAUAUUUAUUUAUUUAUUUAUUUAUUCAUUCAUUCAUUCAUUUUAAGGAAAAAAAAGGUUCACUGAGAAAAUACAGAAUUGUGACCUAUUCCUGAUCUAGGAGGGACCAUAAUCUGCAGUGAAUGCCUGGGAGAUACUUCUAGUACAAAGAUGAAAAGUGUAAUAUGACCAUAAAUUGCAUUUCCUGAAACGCAAAAUUACUAGCCCUGGGAUAGUUAUGAACUAGUUCACAUGGUGCCAAUAAUAGCAUUGAGGUUCUCUGCUGCUCAUGGUGGCAAAAUACCCCAGUAUGCACCUUGCCUGUUUAAGGUAAAGGUCUUAUUAUCUGGAGUAAUCAAAACUUAUUCUCUUGCAAUUAACUUAUUUUAAAUGGAAGGCACAUAAAAUACAGGAGCAGAUUAUCUCCAUUUUUAUUGCCCUUCCCUGGCUAUCUGUAACUUCUAUUUUGAUAAACGUGAUCAGGAUGUAAGCAAAUUAUAUAAUAACAGUUAAGGCAUGUGAAUAUAGAGUAUUAUAUUUGAAGACAGUCCUAAUCAUGAGAUGAAAUACUCAUAACAUAUUCUUCAAUAUUGUCGUGUUCAAGUUGUCUGAAUUUCUGGAAAAAAAGAAAAAAAAAAAAACAACACAAAUGUAGUAUACAUAUAUAUAUGACUACAAUGGCCUUUCUCUUACUUCAUCACAAAGAUAAGUAAGAUAGAUCCAUAUGGAUAAAACUUUCACUUGACUGAAGUGGAUGAAGACUUGAAAAAAUAGUAUAAUCCAUCUUUACAUUAUUUGCUGAAAUGCUGUAUAGUAAGGCACUUCUUU